UUAAGACUCUCGGCAACGGAUAUCUCGGCUCUUACAUCGAUGAAGAACGUAGCGAAAUGCGAUACUUGGUGUGAAUUGCAGAAUCCCGUGAACCAUCGAGUCUUUGAACGCAAGUUGCGCCCGAGGCCUUCGGGUCGAGGGCACGCCUGCCUGGGCGUCACGC
rnacentral:rRNA from 1 species